AACCUGGUUGAUCCUGCCAGUAGUCAUAUGCUUGUCUCAAAGACUAAGCCAUGCAUGUCUAAGUAUAAAUGCUAUACAAUGAAACUGCGAAUGGCUCAUUAAAACAGUUAUAGUUUAUAUGGUAAUCGAAUUUACAUGGAUAACCGUGGUAAUUCUAGAGCUAAUACAUACUGUUAAGCCCAACUUAUGGAAGGGCCGUAUUUAUUAGAUAACAGACCAAUAUUCUUCGUGUCUAUUGUGGUGAAUCAUAGUAACUAAUCGGAUCGUAUGGGCUAGUCCCUCGACAAACCAUUCAAGUUUCUGCCCCAUCAGCUUUCGAUGGUAGUGUAUUGGACUACCAUGGCUUUCACGGGUAACGGAGGAUUAGGGUUCGAUUCCGGAGAGGGAGCCUGAGAAACGGCUACCACAUCUAAGGAAGGCAGCAGGCGCGUAAAUUACCCAAUUCUGACUCAAGAGAGGUAGUGACAAGAAAUAACGGGCAGGGACAUACGUCCCUGGACCGCAAUGAACCGAAUCUACACACCUUAGUAAGUAACAAUUGGAGGGCAAGUCUGGUGCCAGCAGCCGCGGUAAUUCCAGCUCCAAUAGCGUAUAUAAAGU
rnacentral:rRNA from 1 species